CCCUUAGAUGUCCUGGGCCGCACGCGCGUUACACUGAUGCAUUCAACGAGCUUAUAACCUUGGCCGAGAGGCCUGGGCAAUCUUGUUAACGUGCAUCAUGAUAGGGAUAGAUUAUUGAAAUUAUUAAUCUUGAACGAGGAAUUCCUAGUAAACGCAGAUCAUCAAUCUGCAUUGAUUACGUCCCUGCCCUUUGUACACACCGCCCGUCGCACCUACCGAUUGGAUGGUCCGGUGAAGCCUCGGGAUUGUGGUUCUUGCCGCUUUAUUGUGGCGUGACCGCGAGAACUUGUCUAAACCUUAUCAUCUAGAGGAAGGUGAAGUCGUAACA
rnacentral:rRNA from 1 species